UAGAUCCCCUCAACAUAACACUCAAAGCUCUUCUAUCAGAGAGGCAUUCACCAUGUUCAAUCCCCUCCACCGUAUCCCACUCCUCUUGUUCUUCCUCUCACUCUCCGCUAUCUCUGCCUCCGAAUCAGACACACCCAUUUCCCGUUUCCAAAAUUACCUCAGAAUCAACACUGCCCACCCUAAUCCAAACUACACUUCUCCCAUCACUUACCUCAUCAACUUCGCCAACUCUAUCCCAAACCUCCACUCCAAAGUUCUGCACCUAACCCCCACCAUACCCCUCCUAUUAUUAACCUGGCCCGGUACCUCCAACCCUUCACUCCCCUCCAUUCUUUUCAACUCCCAUCUCGACUCCGUCCCCGCCGAGCCCGAAAAGUGGACCCACCCACCCUUUUCGGCUCAUAAAACUUCCGAUGGAAGAAUCUUUGCACGUGGGGCCCAGGACGAUAAGUGUAUUGGCAUGCAGUAUUUGGAGGCAAUCAAAGCGAUACAGAGCAAAGAUCCCGAGUUUAAACCUUUAAGAAAUGUUCAUAUUUUAUACGUGCCCGAGGAGGAGGUGGGUGGGUUUGAUGGGAUGGGGAAGUUUGUGGAGACUAAAGAGUUUAAAGAGUUAAAUGUUGGGUUUGUGAUGGAUGAGGGACAGGCUUCAACUAAUGAUGAGUUUAGGGUGUUUUAUGCUGAUAGGACACCUUGGCAUAUGGUGAUUAAGGCUGUUGGAACACCUGGACACGGCUCUAGAUUGUAUGAUAAUACUGCUAUGGAGAAUUUGAUGAAGAGUAUUGAGGUUAUUACUAAGUUUAGGGAGUCUAAGUUUGAUAUAGUCAAGGCUGGAUUGGCUGCUAAUUCUGAAGUCAUUUCUGUGAAUCCAGUGUUUCUCAAGGCUGGAAUUCCUUCCCCAACUGGAUUUGUAAUGAACAUGCAACCCUCUGAAGCUGAGGCAGGAUUUGAUAUUAGGAUGCCACCAACGGCUGAUCCACAAAUUAUGAGGAAGAUAAUUGAAGAGCAAUGGGCACCAGCUUGGAGGAACAUGACAUAUGAGAUAACCGAGAAAGGAUUCCUGAGGGACAACAUGGGAUGUCCUUUGAUGACACUCACUUCCGACUCCAACCCUUGGUGGUCUGUUUUUAAUGAAGCUGUUACUAGAGCUGGGAGAAAACUCUCCAAGCCUGAAAUAUUAGCAUCGACAACUGAUGCUCGAUUCAUGAGACGACUGGGAAUUCCCACCUUUGGUUUCUCCCCUAUGAAGAACACCCCCAUAUUACUGCAUGACCACAAUGAGUUCCUCAAGGAUACUGUUUACUUGGAGGGGAUUAAGGUCUAUGAAUACAUAAUAAAAUUAUUAAGUUCCUUUGAGGGAUAUUAUGAACACCGGUGUAAUGCAGUUUCUCAACAAUGAAGCUUUUGAAAACUUGGUAUGAUAUUCAUCUCUUUCGAAUAUUGUUUAAUUUCAAGUUUUGCAGGGGAGUCACUCUUGUGGAAAAAGAUGAUUUGUACAUACGUUAUGGUUGUAUAACAUCACUUGCAAAAGUAAUAAUAUCAUCUUGAGAAAAGAAGAGCUGUUUUACACUUGCAAUAAAUUAUAUUGACAAAGCGUGCAGACUAUUCUUCUUUGAAGCUUCCACCAUUAUUCCUUUAAUUGAGAAGCCCAUCUGGAGUUUAGUCAGUCGAUCUUUAAACCUAUGUCAAAUAAUGUAUUACUUACUAAAUUUGCAGAAAUUAUGCUGCAGUUUAUAUGUUCGUAAUAUCUUGAUCUGGUGACAUGUAUUUUGUACAAACAGUAUGCACACUGAAAAUAUGUCCUACUGAAGUUUAAUGGUUGUAUCAUCUUAAUCAGGAUACUCCAUCUAUUUCUUUCGUAUACAAAUUUUAGAAUUUAGGUCU